AGUGAACGCUGGCGGCAGGCCUAACACAUGCAAGUCGAGCGGCAGCGGGUUCCCGCGAGGGGAUGCCGGCGAGCGGCGGACGGGUGAGUAACACGUGGGUAACCUGCCCGGAAGUGGGGAAUACCUCGGGGAAACUCGAGCUAAUACCGCAUGACAUCUUUGGGACGAAAGUCCUGACGAUCAAAGCGGGGUCGCAAGAUCUCGCGCUACCGGAUGGGGCCCGCGCCCGAUUAGCAGUUGGUGAGGUAACGGCUCACCAAGGCUUCGAUCGGUAACCGGCCUGAGAGGGCGAUCGGUCACACCGGAACUGAGACACGGUCCGGACUCCUACGGGAGGCAGCAGUGGGGAAUCUUGCGCAAUGGGCGAAAGCCUGACGCAGCAACGCCGCGUGGAGGAUGAAGGCCCUUGGGUUGUAAACUCCUGUCGGCUGGGAAGAAAUCGUCC
rnacentral:rRNA from 1 species